ACUAUGAAAAGCUAAGGAUUUAGUCCUCGUCUUUGCUUGCUUGUUGAUAGCUGGAGGAGUCGGCAUUGUCAUCUAUAACCAUUGUGCUAAGAGACCCAGUCGAAAAAGGGAUAACGACAGCGAUAUCUGAUCUUGCUCCCAACAAACCGGUUUCAGUCAGGCAAAGGAGCUGGGAGGCGAUGGGCGGAGAGAAUGGGUGCAUGGUGGGACAAUGGGAGGAAGCUAAGAAGACCAGGCUUUACCUGUACAGACAUAAAGAACAGCAACCAGCCUCUCCACUUUAUAUUUCCAAAACAACACCAUCAGUAAGCAGCCUUACAAUGUCAUAGUUUCACUUUGUUUGAUCCAAACAAGUCUAUGUGAUGUUUUCCCCUAAUAUUACUUUAUUUUGUCCAAAUCUUUCCUUAUAUGUCCUUAUAUUAUUAUUUCCACAGCCUGUAAAUAUGGAGGAGUUAGACAGCAUUAUCUGACAUCUCUAAAGGGUGCAUAGAUUGUACUAGAAUGUUCCACAAUGCUAGGUGCCAUAUUUAGAAAAUGAUGAAGGCUAAUCAUAAUAAAUACAUUUAUUUUAUGGUGCCCAUUACACUCGGUGAUGUGUGAGUAAUUCUAGAUACAUUUAGUUUUAUUGGGUCCGCUAUUGUACUACAAAAAAAAGAGUUUGGGGAAAUAAAUGUUACUAACUUGAAUGCAUGUCAAAAUUCAAAUAAAUGCCACUAUUUAAAAGUUAA